UACGAAGGGGGCUAGCGUCGUUCGGAAUUACUGGGCGUAAAGGGCGCGCAGGCGGUCCUUCAAGUCAGAUGUGAAAGCCCCGGGCUCAACCUGGGAACUGCAUUUGAGACUGAGGGACUUGAGGACGGGAGAGGAGAGUGGAAUUCCCAGUGUAGAGGUGAAAUUCGUAGAUAUUGGGAAGAACACCAAUGGCGAAGGCAGCUCUCUGGACCGUACCUGACGCUGAGGCGCGAAAGCGUGGGGAGCAAACAGG
rnacentral:rRNA from 1 species